rnacentral:rRNA from 1 species
GCAUGGCUGUCGUCAGCUCGUGUCGUGAGAUGUUCGGUUAAGUCCGCUAACGAGCGCAACCCUCGCCGUAUGUUACAAGUGUCAUACGGGACUGCCGGUAAAAAGCCGGAGGAAGGUGAGGAUGAUGUCAAGUCAGCAUGACCUUUAUAUCCAGGGCUACACACACGCUACAAUGGUCUGUACAAUUGGUUGCCAAGCCGCGAGGCGGAGCCAAUCUCAGAAAACCGGUCGUAGUCCGGAUCGCAGUCUGCAACUCGACUGCGUGAAGUCGGAAUCGCUAGUAAUCGCGAAUCAGCAUGUCGCGGUGAAUACGUUCCCGGGCCUU